rnacentral:rRNA from 1 species
UACGGAGGGUGCGAGCGUUAAUCGGAAUCACUGGGCGUAAAGCGCACGUAGGCGGCGACGUAAGUCAGAUGUGAAAGCCCCGGGCUCAACCUGGGAACUGCAUUUGAUACUGCGCGGCUUGAGUCUGGUAGAGGGGGGUGGAAUUCCUAGUGUAGAGGUGAAAUUCGUAGAUAUUAGGAAGAACACCGGUGGCGAAGGCGGCCAACUGGACCGGUACUGACGCUGAGGCGCGAAAGCGUGGGGAGCAAACAGG